AUUGGAGAGUUUGAUCCUGGCUCAGGACGAACGCUGGCGGCGUGCCUAACACAUGCAAGUCGUACGGGACCGGGGGCAACUCCGGUUCAGUGGCAGAUGGGUGCGUAACACGUGAGGAACUUGUCCGUCGGCGGGGGAUAGCCGGCCCAACGGCCGGGUAAUACCGCAUACGCUCGCUCGGGGGCAUCCCUGGGCGAGGAAAGCAGCCGCAAGGUUGCGCCGGUGGAGAGUCUCGCGGCCUAUCAGCUUGUUGGCGGGGUAAUGGCCCACCAAGGCGACGACGGGUAGCUGGUCUGAGAGGAUGGCCAGCCACAUUGGGACUGAGACACGGCCCAGACUCCUACGGGAGGCAGCAGUGGGGAAUAUUGCGCAAUGGCCGCAAGGCUGACGCAGCGACGCCGCGUGUGGGAUGACGGC
rnacentral:rRNA from 1 species